CACUACGAAGCUAAGAGCGUUAGCCUUUUAAGCUAAAGUUAGAGAACAAGAAUCUCCAUAGUGA
rnacentral:tRNA from 1 species